rnacentral:hammerhead_ribozyme from 1 species
GUCCAACUGACGAGUCCUGAAUAGGAUGAAACGUUUGUCCCGGAU